UACGUAUGGGGCAAGCGUUAUCCGGAUUUACUGGGUGUAAAGGGUGCGUAGGUGGCAAGGCAAGUCAGAAGUGAAAGCUCGGGGCUCAACCUCGGAACUGCUUUUGAAACUGCCAGGCUAGAGUGCAGGAGAGGUAAGUGGAAUUCCUAGUGUAGCGGUGAAAUGCGUAGAUAUUAGGAGGAACACCAGCGGCGAAGGCGGCUUACUGGACUGUAACUGACACUGAGGCACGAAAGCGUGGGGAGCAAAC
rnacentral:rRNA from 1 species